CUGUUGGCAUUGUUGGCCGUGGCCGAGCAUGCAGGGGAGUUUGAAAAGAUCAUUGCAUUGUCACAGAGAUUCCCAGGGUUUGUGUUGCCCUGCCUGGGUGUCCACCCUGUUCAGGAAGUAUCUUCUGACCAACACAGAAGUGCUUCUCUACAGGACCUGGAUGCUGCUCUUCCCCUGAUUGAUAAAUACAAAGACCACCUUGUGGCCAUUGGAGAGGUAGGAAACACUGACAUCAAAGUAAAUGUGAACCCUAACAG